rnacentral:rRNA from 1 species
AUUGAACGCUGGCGGCAGGCUUAACACAUGCAAGUCGAACGGAGUGGCGCACGGGUGAGUAAUGUAUAGCUAAUCUGCCCUACACUAGAGGACAACAGUAGGAAACGACUGCUGAUACUCUAUAGUGUAGGAUGAGGCUAUAUUGUAUCAGCUAGUUGGUGAGGUAUUGGCUAACCAAGGCUAUGACGCAUAACUGGUCUGUGAGGAUGAUCAGUCACACUGGAAUUGAGACACGGUCCAGACUCCUAUGGGAGGCAGCAGUAGGGAAAAUUGCUCAAUGGGGGAAACCCUGAAGCAGCAACGCCGCGUGGAGGAUGACACUUUUCGGAGCGUAAACUCCUUUUGUUAGGGAAGCGGUACCUAACGAAUAAGCACCGGCUAACUCCGUGCCAGCAGCCGCGGUAAUUC